UACGUAGGGGGCAAGCGUUGUCCGGAAUCAUUGGGCGUAGAGAGCGUGUAGGCGGCCAGAAAAGUCCGCUGUGAAAACUCGAGGCUCAACUUCGAGCUGUCGGUGGAAACUUUCUGGCUAGAGUCCGGAAGAGGAGAAUGGAAUUCCUGGUGUAGCGGUGAAAUGCGCAGAUAUCAGGAAGAACACCCGUGGCGAAGGCGGUUCUCUGGGACGGUACUGACGCUGAGACGCGAAAGCGUGGGGAGCGAACAGG
rnacentral:rRNA from 1 species